CUCCACCACAUCGAGACAAACCGAAUCAUCACCGUUCUGUUCACCAACCCUAAACAAUACCUGCCACGUCAGCAGGUGCGGUAGGACCGAGGACGGCGGCGGUAGCAGCGCGUGGCGGAGUAAAAACUCGCGUACGGUGGUUCUGAAGGGUUUACCGGCGGCGUGUUCGGCGGAAGGGAAGGUGAGAAAGUCGUUGAGAUCGGCGGUUACUCUCCUUUUCAUGUUUUUGAAUGGCCGGGGAUUUGUGAAAUGAUUGAAUGGUGAGAUUUGGAUGGAGUGGAGUCGGUUUCGGAUGUGGAGAGAGAGAGAGAGUGAGUCAAAAGGAUAUUUUCGAGGGGUUGGUUUGGAAUCUAUCUGUUUUGACAAUUUCUGGUGACUAAUUAAUGAUUGUGUUUAACAUUUAAUGUAUCACAUCAAUAUUUUAUAAUUAUUUUAUGUUUUGUGU
rnacentral:lncRNA from 1 species